UGCUGCUCCUGCACGGGUGUCCUGCUGGUAUUCUCAGACGUGUCCUGUCUCGUCAACUCCAAGGCAAUAAAAGACAGUCAGUUCUCUGGCUCUUCUCAGGAGAAAUGGCCAAGUGUUGCUGUGAUACAUCCAAAGAAGGUCAUCUACUACCUUCAGGGAGAUGCUGGCACCCAGAGAAGCUUGCUUUAGAAAAAGCACCAGCUCCUUUUGCUACCAGAUGUCCUCUUUGGCAGUUUGAGUCAACGAGGAGUGAAGUGAUGAAGAAUGAAUGCAGUCUUCAAGUGGAGGCCUCAGGCCCCAAGUGGCAGCGGUGGAGACAGCAGAAGGGAAGUUCUCUAUUGCUGCUGCCUGCUGGGACUUGGAGUUGAUGUCAGUUCCUACUUACGUUGCUUGUCACCAGAAUCCAGCAGAGACAUUUGUGUGAACGUUCUCAUGUUCAGCAAACUUCCCCUGUUGGUUCCACGCAGGUCUCCUGGAGUACUACUUGCAGCCUUCACUGAGGGGUCUGUGGGUAUGAAGGCUAUGCAUAGCUUUACUUCAGCACCACUACGACUUCAGGCAGCAAAAGUUCUCUCCAGCUCUCAUCUCACUUACAGCAACAGCGCUGAAUAGGAUUGCCCCAGAUGGUCAGCUCUGGACUGAGCAAACUGAUUUAAGGGCUGGUGACUCUCAGAUUUCAGCAUCAUUGAGAUGUUUUUUGUUGUUGUGUUUGUUUGUUUUAAUGUAUUCAUUUUUAAAGUAUUUGAAUUACCUGCUCAAGACUUGGAUUUCACUAUUUCAGUUUUCCGGAACGCUUUCUCCCAUUCAGCCUAAGAUAACUUAAAGAAGACAAAUUUCCUUCUGUGCUAUAAUCCAGAGGUUUAAGUAGGUAUAAAAACACUACCUGUGUUGACCCCCAGGAAUUCAGUUAUGUGACUUCGACUCGGAGCAGCCACAUUCUGUCUCUGCCCCUUGCCUAGACUUUGCCGUCGUAAAAUCUGCAGCUAUGCUGUACUUGUUAUUGUGAUCUAAUGCUCCCUAGCAGUCUGGAAAUUACGGCCAUCAUGUGCAAGUGCUCACUACGGUAAGCUUGGUACUUUAGCACUGCCACAUCAAGGAAGUUAAUCCUCCACAAGGCAGCUGCUGCUCUCAGCUCUGCUAGUAGAAAUGUUCUUGGGCUUUAGCUUUGUGUUACAGCUCCA